rnacentral:rRNA from 1 species
UUUGAUGGCGACCGGCGCACGGGUGAGUAACACGUAUCCAACCUGCCGAUGACUCGAGGAUAGCCUUUCGAAAGAAAGAUUAAUACCCGAUGGCAUAGUUCUUCCGCAUGGUAGAACUAUUAAAGAAUUUCGGUCAUCGAUGGGGAUGCGUUCCAUUAGGUUGUUGGCGGGGUAACGGCCCACCAAGCCUUCGAUGGAUAGGGGUUCUGAGAGGAAGGUCCCCCACAUUGGAACUGAGACACGGUCCAAACUCCUACGGGAGGCAGCAUG